CAAUAAGCAAGAACUGCCACAAUCAGGCCAAAGACUCCAUUUUGCUGCCUUCUAUAAAAAAAAAACAACGGUUACAAGCGCUGUUUCUGAGAAGCUGAAAUGAAAGCUGUUUUCUGUACUUUGUACCCCACAGGAUGUACCCCACAGGAUGUGGUGGUCUUGGUGACCCAAGGCUUUGAAGUAGAUUCUCGCCCCUGCGGACCACCUGCUCGGACUCAGGAUACGGUGUCCCACCUGCUCAGACCCUAGAUGCGACGUCUGAGUUGCUGGGCUGGUUGCCGCCUUAGCUUCCACGACUGGCUUGCUCGCAUGACACCAAGGAAAGUCCCCGAGCUGUGAUUUUCGUCCUUGAUUCCCAAGACCCAGCCCAGGAAGUCGCUGGUCUCCCCCCGGAGCUCCAGUCUCUGGGGUGGGUGACGGCACCCGGCCAGGAAACAAAGUGUCUUUGAUCUGAACUUGGAUUUAGAGUGUUUCUGAAGCGGGUCCCUAACACUGGCCACCACUCGGGUGUUCCUGGGCCCCUCGGGGGCUACGACCCACUGGGACAGGAACACGUGAGCGCACCUGGAAAGCGGUCCGGCCAGUCCCGUGGUUGAACUUGAACGUGGGGCUGGACCUGUGGUCACUCUUCUCAGGACGCGAUCGAGUUCUUCAAAUAAAUACUGUGAAUCUUCU
rnacentral:lncRNA from 1 species